rnacentral:miRNA from 1 species
CCUGGCACUUUCUAAUCAAAGA